rnacentral:lncRNA from 1 species
AAAUCAUCUUUACGGCUUGUGGAAUUGAGUGACUUCGUUUAUAAUUGGAGAUCCUGAACACCAAAGUAAGCCUAAAAGGAAUCUUUGAGGAAAAAGCCUUCUAGCAAGGAAAUUCAAGAUUCUUAUACCUUUGGCUCUAAAGUUCAUUUUGGAAGUUAAAGGAAUAGAACUUUAAAAUAUUCAGGUGUUGAUAAACAACCUUUUAGCUUAAUUUUUAUUACGUGCAUUAAGCAAAAGGAUUAAGGCUUUAAAUCAACAUUUUGUUUUUACUAUUCUGAUUAGAUAAUUCAGGUAUAAAGAUAACUCCCAACUCUUAAAAAAACCUCAGAAACUUGAAUGAGACUUCCAGACCCUUACAAGCUAAUUCUAAACGGAGUAGAAAACAGAGUAUUAUGAAUGUCAGUGUUGCCUUGCAAAUGGCGAAUUGAAGCUAAGUAUUAAUUAUCUACUGGCAUUUUGUGACCGAUGGCAUCAGGGCAAAACCAUUAUUUGACAACUUACCUAUACCUACAGUUAUAUGCAGGUUCUAGAUUAUAAAGAUACAAAUGUAGACAAAUUCGUAUUUGUAGACAAAUAGCUAAUUGUUGAUGUCUCUACCUUAGUUGCCUUCAUUCUCAUUUCUAAUUCCUCUAUUUUCAAAUAUAUUAAAUUUGUUUUUUUUAAUGCGUGUUAAUUCAAAGAGGGAUAUUUUGUAUUCCACAUAGAAUAGUGUUAAUUGUAAAGUGUGCUCAGCUGUCAUGGUAAAGGAGUAUUUAAUGUUCUUGUAGGUAUUUGUGUGUGUGCACGCGCGAGUGUGUGUGUUGUGUGUGUAAUUCAAAUUUCCUUAAAAUAAAAGGACGUAGAAAUCAAAAGCACUGGGUAAAGAAAUGACAAUAUUUAGUGAAGAAGUAUGUGUUCACUUUAUGAUCCAAAAAAUAAGACACCACAUUUAUUCCAGAGAAGUUUAUAUUUGGGCCUUAAGCUUUUGAAAAUAAAGUUUAGAGACAUAGCAUUAUGAAUACCACUGUAAUACACAUGAAAUAUUCUAUCAGACCCUAAAAAUUAACAUAAACUUAAACUUUCUCAGUCAACAAAAUAGUGGCUGGGUGCCGAUUUUAUUAGAUAAGUUGGUUACAGCAUUUUAAUUAUCAUUUAACGUCUAUCUAGGUGUAGCUGAAAUUCAAAAUGCACAUCAAAGUAAAACUAUAUCACAACUCAAUGCCAUACUAAAUGUACUUGGCCUCUGCAGAAUUCUAAUCGGACUUCAUUUUGACUCCCUUCUCAUGGCCCAAGUGGCUUUGAUAGGAAUGCAGGACUUAGUGCUGAUCAUCACACAACAUACCACUUUCUUUUUAUAACCUCUACAAAAUUUUAAGGGGAGAUGGUGGCAUUAGCCCUGUGGAACAGAUCUUGAUUACCUCAAUAACACUGGCCCAGUAUCUGUCCAGCAGAACCCAUUGUGAACUAGUACAAGGUGCACAGCCCUUCACUGAUUACAGGCAAGUGUUACAGCAGCCUAGCCAUAAGGAAGGGAGGUUACAUCAUAGUACAAAAUACAGUAUAAAAGCGUUAUUUAACAUUCCACACUGAAGAUUACGGAUGCCUUCAAACAAUCGUUUGGAUGUUAGCCACUUAAACAAAUACAUCACUAAGGUAAACAAUAUAAACAUACCAAAACCCUGUAUGGUUAAAUACAAUUUCCAUGGUACAAAAAUCAAAGCCUGGAGAUGUUUGUACAGAUUGCUUUUUACACAAUGUCUUAAAUUGCCAAAUAUUUACAACAUUAAAGAGGAAAUACAUUUUGAUGCAGAGUAAAAUUAUCUGAAAUGAUUAAUAUAAAACCUCAAUCUAUCUACGUGAGGCACUCCUGAAGCAAGUGGCAUUAGCCAUGAGGUCCUUUGGUACAAGGCCCAUUGCUUGAAGAACCACAGUAGCUGCUGUGGCUUUAGCAUGCUUCUUAUUAGGGCUGGCAAAGCUGGGCUGGUAAGCGCUUCCAUUUAUCAAUACCUAUUCAAGAAAAACAUACAAUUGGGCUGGUAAGGGCUUCCAUUUCUCAAUACCUAUUCAAGAAAAACAUACAAUAAGAACAGCAUCAAACUUUAAUAUCUAUUAGCUUUGUAUUUUUUCACUAAAUGCUAGAAAAAUAAUUCACAAAAACUAUAAAACCCAUACUAUGGAAGUCAAAUUAAUCUCAACCCAGAAGCAGCAAAUCAUUUAGGAAAAGGGACUACAAAUUAAGGUCUUCAAAUUGAAGGGGCAUGGGGAAAGGGGAUGGAGAAAUCCCUGAUAAAGCUACUAAAUUAACACUAAAUUAAUUCCCCAUGUUCCACUAGAAAAUGUCAACAAAUUCUUCACCAGAUUUUGCCCACAUCUUUCCCUCCAACAUUUUUGAAAAAUAGGAUAUUAACAGGUCAUAUUAAAGUAUACUUAAAUAUUUAAAAACCCUACCACUUCUACCCACACAUCUAUUCACUCCCAACCCACAAUGUAUCAAUAUUGUGACGAUACAGUGCUUUUCCCUCACCCUCUAAAGUUAAGUCAUCAAAUUAGUAGGGGUAUAUAAUUAAUGCACAAAUUCAUAUUUACCCUAAAGAGAAAAUGUUUGCGAUGAUCAGGGCCACUAUCAUGGACCAAGAGAAAUUCUGGUGGUUGCCACCUUCUCUUAUUACAGAUUUCCAUCAAAGCAGACACAGGAUGUUUGCCUGCAGAGAAAAAAAAAAUAACUUGUUAAUUAUUUCUACUGUCUGUGGCAACAGAUUAUGAAUUCAAGUUGGGGAUGGGACAAGAGGAAAUUUAAAUGUAUGCUCACCUGACAGAUCUUUCAUUGCAGCAGAGAAGUUCCCAGACCUCUUUUGUGCUCUUUCUCCUACUGCAACAAGACCUUUAAAAUAAAAAGCCAAUGUUCACUGAAUAAAUCCCAAAGCAUCAUUCAAAAUUAUAAACACAAUGAUUCCCUCUGUAGGAACCUGAGUCUCAAUAAAAUAUUCAACUCCCACUACCCCUGAUUUUUAUAUCAUUUGACUUCUAUUUUGCUGUUUCAAUAUAUAAAUCUUUAUGUUUAUCAUGUACCUUGGUAUUACAAACUGUACAAAAAUCAAAUGUUCAGAAAACCUAGUAUAUAAAUAUGUAUAUAAAUUAAGUGCCAUAGUUAACAACUACAGGUCUGUUUCUUUUUAAGUUUAAAAACUAGAGGCUAUUACAAGUGCAAUCUAAGGUUUCCCAUUCCUUAAAAAAUGAUGGCUCACUUAAUUAAGUUCCCCAGAUGGUGAGGCUUUUAGGCCACACCCCCCCCAAAAAAAAACUAAAAGGGAGAGGCUGUCUCUAUAGAUGAACGUGUCCCUUUUCUCCCCCAGCAAACAACCCCUUUCUGACUUAUCAAAUGAAGAUAUUCUCAAAAGACAAACAUAAUCUCACUGUAUAACCUCCCUUUCCAAAGGGAUUUAGCUGUAUCACUACCCAAAAUCAAUGCUUUCCUGACUUCCAUUUCUCCUAGGGGGAAUUCUUCAACCAGUUCUUCAUUAAUUCUGCUAGUAUGCUUCUCCAAACCCAACACCUGUCACAGAAUUCCAAAGAUGAUGUUCCCUGGAAUUAUGCAAUGCCUUCACAGAUAUUUUCUUCCAAAAAACCACCUUUUAGGACUCAAAAAAUCUAUUCAACUUGUAGAAGUAAUACAAUGUCAAUGUGACCCAAUCAGUACAAUGUCCUUUUCUAAUUUAGAGUCUGAAUUAACGCUUAUUAGCACAGGAUGAUUCUCAUGCUAUUUCUAGCCUACUUGGAAUUAUUACCAAUAAACUCCCUACAAUUUGAAAAAAGUGGCAUCACGGUAUUCUAUGUGGAUGAGAAUGUAGAAUUUCUGAAGCAAAACAUUUUAUAAGACACAGUUUGGUCAGAGCUAGUUCGUUUCCUAUUAAGAAUAAUUUAACUGCAUCAUCUCCAACUUAAUUCAAUUCUCUGAUUACAAAGAUAAUGAAAAUUCUAGUGUUCAGCUUUACAGUUUUUAAAAAUCAGGCUUAUCCAAGCUAUUGAAAUCACACUGAGCUGACAUUGAGCCAUUUGAUUCUACUUAAAACAUAAUUCCAAGGGAAGAAUUUAAAAGGUACCAGCUGGCUUUUCUCAAUAAGCACUAAGUGUAUUUUUAAUACUCAGCAACUGCAUGCAAGCUAUAUAGAGAGAUCCCCAUGAGUUGCAAAGUUCCAAGGUGCCCCAAGAACAAGAAAAUAUGAAGAGCUAACAUUGCUGCCAGCAACUGCUCCACUAUUCUCCAGCCCCAAUCCAAGAAAACUCAAUUAUGGAGCUUAAAAAGAGGGAUACGCAGACUCUUGAUUUCGGCUCAGGUCAUGAUCUCGCAGUUUGUGGGUUAGGGCCCCACGUCAGGCUGCAUGGUGACGGUGCAGAGCCUACUUGGGAUUCUCUACCUCUCUGCCCUUUCCCCACUCUCUCAAAAUAAACUCAGAAAAAGAGACAUGCAAAAAAGGGUUUAAAAGGUGAAGACAAAACAGCACUCUAGUAAGAAAUAGGAGAAUAUAGAAGAUAAAAUAUUUGAAAAAGAAAAAAAUAAAUCCUAGAAACAACAAGUGUAUGUUCCCCAUCAAGAGAAAGCAAAAUGGGGAUUCCAUUUCCUAAAAAUGAAAUAUAGGGGGUGCCUGGGUGGCUCAGUCAGUUAACCAUAGCCUUCGGUUCAGGUCAUGACCUUGUGAGUUUGAGCCCCACUCAAACAGAGUUUGAGCACAGCACUCAAGCAGAGUUUGAGCUCUGCUGACAGCUCAGAGCCAGGAGCCUGCUUCACCUGCCCCUCCCCGGCUCACACUUGCGUCUCUGUCUCUCAAUAAUGAAUAAAAGGUUUUAAAAAAAAAAAAAAAAAAAAAGAAAUCUAGUUAAAAUUUCAGUCACACUGAUAUAUGCCUACUUCCUUAUUAUUUAGCAUCUUAACUACAACUGCCUUUUAAAAGCCCAAAUUAGUGACUUCAUCUGUAUUUAUACAAGCUGUCACGAAUGGGUUAAACUUUUGUUUCCUAACAAACAGCUGUAUAUAUGCUCCAGUUAAGCAUCAAGGAUAUCAAAAUGUAAGAAGAUUACUAUGUGUGUGUAUUUAUUUAUUUAUUUACUUAUUAUUUAUUUAAAGAUGGGGCUGCUGGUGGGCUCUGUUGGUACAGCAUAUGACUCUUGAUCUCAGGGUCGUGAGUUCAAGCCCCAUAGUGGGCAAAGAGCUUACUUAAAAAAAAAAAAAUCUACGAAGGUAAUGAAACCCUAAGUGUUUUUUUUUAAUAUUACUUAUUUAUUUUGCAAUAAAUAAAUUUAUUUUAGGGGCAAAUGAGGGGGCAAAGAGAAUCCCAAGCAGGCUCCACAAUGUCAGCACAGAGCCCAACACAGGGCUUGAUCUCACAAACCGUGAGACCAUGACCUGAGCUAAAACCAAGAAUCAGAUGCUUAACCGACUGACCCACCCAGGAGCCCCGAAACCUUAAAUAUUAAAGAAGGUAUAAUAAACAUUCCCAGAACAAUGUGUUACCUUUUCGGUCUGUCUUAAAAUCAACUAGGAUAGGUUCCUUAUUUCCUUCUUUGUUUUUUCCUAAUCCUUCUCCUUCUCUCCAGCCCAUUUUUCUCAUCAAAACGGCUCCCAUUCCUCCAGUUACCGGGGCUGCUCUUAAGAACUGAUCCUAUCCAAAGAAAGAAAGGUAAAAUGUCCCCAUUUCAGAGUUAGAAUUUGACUACAAAUGCAGUGUAAUUUUUAAAAAAAAAAUCUUAUUUUACUUCUAGAUCUGAUAUAGCAAUUAAAUUUAAGUUUCUAUACUUAUAUACAUACUGUAGUGUGGAUGCUAAUUAUUUUCACAUUAACAUAAUAUUUUGAAAGUCAAAUAAGGCAAAUAAAUGGCAGUUUAAAACAGUAGCCCUCCUGCCCCCCUCCAAAAAAAAAAAAAAAAUUAGAACACUCCUGUUUUCGUCCACUAUUUAGGUUCACUGGUAUCUCUUCUUAGCUUGCAAAAUAAAAAGAAGGCAAUGUUAAAACAGUCAAUAAUAUUAAUUGUCCCAGGUGUACCUAGUUAAUGAAUAAAGCCCAGAAAUCAUUUAGAAAUAGUUUGGACACUGAAGCAGCAUACUGUUAACAUCCCAAGUUUUCUUUCCCACUCUACCUUAAAGCAAGUAUAAAUAUUUUACUUAGAAAAUCCCUACGAACCAAAAGGUAAAAAUCUUUAAAUUCUAUUUACACAGUAAGAAAUGGACAGUCACAUAAAAUACCCUGUCAUUAUACCAAACUGAAUUUGAAUGCUUUUAAAUCCUAGCUUGAUGUUAAAAGACUUUUAAAAAACUCCUUAAACGUUUACAUACCUAGGCCUCGGUAGCAGCAGUGUUGUGAAUAGUAGGGCUGGCACUGACCGGGGCAAGAAGACAGCUACAAGGAUUUGGCCCUGAAACAAGUUUCCAUACAGAGGGGUGAAAGUUCACAGGUUAUUCUGUGAACAGUCAUCUCUCUUGUAUCCAACCCACUGAACCAUAAUUUCCAUCAAAGCAGCAAACCACUUAAUGUCUUAAGAUGCACAACUAUAUACAUUAGCAUGGUCAACAGUCAUUUUCACACAUUAAGAAAUAAAUAUGUGAUGCCUCUAUUUUAAAGGACAUCCAUGUACACAGAACAGAUGAAUUCUACUGUUGAUCUUUAUUGGCCAUUUUCCUUUUAAUUUAUAACAUCUCAAAAUCCUGCUUUACUUUCCCCUUGUUCUUAAAUUUUAGACUUAUGUUCUCUAGCAAAUAUAUAGCAAAAGUCAUUAACUUAUCAACAGAGGGAGUCAAAAAUUUGGUAUCUCUGGGAAGAGUAUGCAUUAAUCAUUUCCUAUAUUGAUAAGUUAAUGCUAAAUUUUUAAAAUCUUAUUUUUACACAGUAGUAAAACUGUAUUAUUUUUCCCCCAGCUUUGUAAAUUAUAUGCUGGGGAAAAACAUGCCAAUGAUGUGUGACUAGACAUUAAGUACAACUAGGUGCUCUGAUGGAAGGAGGCAGCUGUGGAGGUAAAAACAUACCCCUGGUUCAGUUCCUUAUUUGGUGCAGGCCAUGCAGUGUUGAUGUAUAAAGAGAAAAGUUAGCUGAUGCUUGGAUAUCAACUGCCUUGUUGCUACACACCUAAAAUGACUUUUACUUACUUCCAGGUUCAUCCGCCCCUCUUUUCCAGGCAACACUCCUAAAAAAAAGGGCAACUGUGCAGAGUAUAAUACAAAACCCCAAAUAACCCAGGCUUCCGACUCGGUUUCCAUUCUCUACUAUCUUCAUGUUUCUUUACCCCAUUGUGUAUACAGUUCACCAAAAAGCUGCUUAAUCUAAUGAGUAUAAUAGUAAACAAUACUCAUCGGGUCAUCAGGUCAUGUCCAAAUCACUUAAUUCCAGAAAAUAAAGGUUCUUUUAAAUCAAUAACCACUUAAAAAUGUCUUACUGACAUAAUAAUGGUAAAACUCCCAUCUUUUUUCAUCUAAGAAUAUACUGCAACAAACUAAAAAUGAAUAUGGACUGUGUUGGCAUUCCAUGUGGUUUUUAACAUAAAGGAGGGUGUUAGGCUAGUGCAAGGCAAGAAAAACUAUGUGAUCAUUGAAAGUUUUCUAAACACAACAAAGAGACCAUUGACAGUGAAGAUAAAUGAUAAAUUUCCAGCUAAUGACUUCCACAUUUUUAUAAAUGUUCAUUCCUUCCUUGAUAUCAGUAGCAAAUAUUCUUCUGUAAACAUAUAAAUGGGAGUUUUCCUAAAAGCAUUGCUUUCUUGUUAUUAUUUAAAAACUUUCAUGAACACAUCUCAUAAUUUAUCAAAAUGCCUUACAUGUACAUUUAAAAUAAUGUGAUUGAAAAUCUGUCAACUGCCUACAUGACUAGAAAUCAAAACUUUAAGGGAAAGUUUGCAAGAACCAAUUUUAAUCAGUAGAAGAUUCAUUUUUGCAAGUUAUGUUAACAUGAUUUUUAGAACUAUAUAAGCAUUAUGGAUCAGUACUUCAUUAUACAAAUGAAGACCAAAAUUUUACAAUGGAAUCACACUCAGAAGUUCCUACCUAGUAAUGUACAAGACUAUUUAAUUUUUAUCUGCCUAAACACCCACGUAAGCUUCAAGUCUAACUUCCUGAAAUACUGAGACUCAAGCUUCAAGAUUAAAUAGUAUUAAAGAAUUAAAACUAUUGAAAUAGGUGUAUAUCAUUCUUCCCAAUGAGAUGAAGGCCAUUUUCAAAUACUAUCCAAAUCACUCUACUUUAAAUACUAUAAUUGGUCCAAAAUGAACCCAAAAUUAAAAAUAUUUUGACUAGAUUUUCGUUUUUUUCCAACACCAACCCCUAGUAAAUGACAUAAAAGUUGUAAAUUUUUAAUGAAUCUGGCCAUAUACUCACUAAACACAUAAUAGUGUACCUAAAUGUACCAAAAAUGGCAGGUAAAUUGAGGAUGUAUCAUGUUUUAUAUUAAUUUGUUAAUAAGAGGAUCAACAGAGAUAAUGCUAUCAAAACUGAAACGUUAUGAGAUUAAAAUAUCCAAAGCAACCAAAAUCUCAUUUUGCGGAAAUUCAGCUCAUUCACUGGCAAUCAUAGCAAUUCUUCAUAGGUGCCCAUCACGUUAUUAAUUAUUGCCCUGUGAAGCAGUAUUAAGAACUUGUCUUCUCAUGACACUUGGGAGACUGAAAUUCCAAGUAUAUUACUUGCCCAUGAUCACAAAAGCAGUCAGGAGUACAGCGGGAUAAAGAAACCUUCCCAAUCCUUAGACCACGCAGCCUCCCAGUUUCAGCACUGCCAUACUGCCAGUACUCCUGAAACAAAUGUCCCAUCACCCAUCCAACCAAGCCACGUCCCUUCAUCAGAAGGCAUUUCUUUAGAAAGCCCUUCUUAACCACCUAAGACUCCCCCAACAAUGAGGCAGCCGUAGGUGGAGUUCACAGGUCUCACUGCAGGAAUCUGAAACCAGGAGCACCUACAUCUUCACAGCACGAGGCGUCCAUCCUCUCCCAUGAAUUUAGGUCUUACAUAUCCUGUUUUUUCAGGAGAUCAGUGGUUCUCAAAUUGAGCCUGUGGAUCACCAGAGGCCACCAGGGCCUAAAUGGUGGUCCACAGAUAGCAUUCUCCAUCCCCACUCCACCCCCUUCACCACCCCUUCAGCACUGCCCACCGUCCCCCCCCAACCCCCAGUCCAACCAUCCUCCCCAGCCUUCCGGUCCCAUGGCAAGAUCACCACAUGCAGUGCUAAUACUGGGGCCUCCCAACCAACUUGCUAUAACCAGCAGCUGACAACCACAGGGAUCGGGGUGAUCACCAGAAGGGUGAGAAAUAAGGGCCAAGAGAGCUUACAAGAGGGCACAGGCACUAAAGAAGGGGAAAGAAGGACAGAGGAGCAAAGAAAUGGAAAAUCUGGGUGGUAAGAGGGCUCUUGGGGACAGUGAUCCACCAAAAAUAAACCUGUAAUAAAGUAUCCCAUGAUGAGAAAAAAUUUGAGAACCACUGCUUUGAAAUCAUUAGAUUAGUAGUCCAACAGGAACUGUGGAACAUUCUGAACAGCACCUGAGAUACACUGUUAGCAUUCAAAACACAGUUUUUAAAAAACCACCCCCAAAAAGACCAGCAGCAGCAAUAACAAAUAACUUCAGGAUAUAAACUGAGUGGCUCUUGAGCCUUAUUUAUACAUUUGCCAUUGUCUCAUGAAUCAGGUCCAUCUUCAGUGUCCAUCCUAGAGUAUGCACACAUAGCAAAUUUACUCAUGAACUUUGGUUAUAGUUACUGGCCUCUCCGUGCAUUUUUAAUAAAACAUUUUCUAAAAAAAAUCUUAACUUUGUAGUUGGACACUUUUGUACGUGCAUAUGUCGUGUACCUUUUUAAUCCAGGCUUGGGCACCAGUAUUAGCCAACUGUUCUUGUGUCAGAACCUGUACUCCUGUACUUCCGGUGAAUUGGCCGGGAAUGGAGUUCAGCUGAGCCCAGGCAUCAAUCUGAAGAAAAAAAAAAAGAUGCCUCAAUCAACUGAGUAAAAUUACUUGUCUAGUCAAAAAUGCCCACUGGUUUAUUUCACUAAAUGAAAUGGUUUUAUUUAGUUCUUGAAAAGGCUGAAUAAGACUUAUUCAACUUUUAGAACAAUCUGAUGAAUGCAUACAUAUUUAAAAUGUUUUCUUAAAAGCAGCACUUUGGUAACAUUCAGUGGGUCCCAUUAGUAACAAGAUUUGAGAUGUACGUCUAACAACUGAAAAGCAUUAACAAUAAUACUCCUCCAAAAUAUCACAUGGAUACAUGAAUACAGAAAAGAGUUUCAUGCAGCACAGGAUCCCUGCCCUCUGCUUUAUGUACCUCAUAUAAAUGCACUCUAAUAAAUGUUACGAUCGCCUGAGUUUUUAAUUAAUUACCUUCUUUGUGGUAUUAGAAAUCCAGAAUUCAAGAGACACGCUUAAGGAGUAAUAAAUGCAGGGAAUUAUUCAAACCCAGAAAACAGCCUUCUUUAAAAACUGAGCCCUACAUUAAUCACCAGCAUUUAUUGUGAUGGUUAAAGAAUCAGUUGUCCUUCAAAGCAUAUUUGCUAAUAAACAUUGGUAUUGUUAGGUAGUGUAUUUAUCUGUCUGAACAUGUAUUUGUCGUUUCUAUAUAGAUCUACCACGGGAAUGUAGAAGACAAAAGGAAAAGCUGUCCACUGUUAAAAAUUUAAGUCUAGACUCUGGCCUCAGACUGCCUAAUCACUUUUUUUUUUUUAAUUCCAGUGUAGCUAACGUGCAGUGUUAUAGUUGUUUCAGGCUGACUAACCACUCUUUACUCAGUUUCCUCAGCUGGAAAAUGGGACAUCAUAAUAGUACCUACAUCUCACAGAGCUAUGAUGGACACAUAGCUACUUUUAUAUUCCAGAUUACAAACUCAGUAAGAGCAGGGAUUUUUUUUUUCUAUUUUAACUCGCUUAAACAUUAGUUCCUGCCACACAGUACACAAUAAACAUUUACUGAGUGAAUGACCAUGCCCCAAAAUCACUUUCAUUUAAAAUAAGCUAAUUACAAUAAAUUACUUAUUUCCUUGGAUUUUUAGGACCUACAUUUCAACAGCAUGCCACAGAAUUUACUUACGUCACAACCAUCUAAUUAGUUAAAUUCUCAUUUAGCAGACAUUAAAACUGCUACAUACCCUUUCCUGAGCUCGAUUUAACAUGCUCAUGGCUUCAAGGUCAAAUGCAUUCUCACUUAGUCUUUUCUGAGCAAGUGCCCGUUCACUCAUUGCUGUAGAGAUGUCCACAGGCUAAGAAAGAAAACAUAGAUAAUUAUCUCAAAUUAUGAUAGACCCCCUAAAUUCUAAAAAGUGCUCUUAUCUUUAGUUGCUACAUAUCAAAAAUGAAACAGUAAUCUUACAUAUUAAUAAUCUUGUAAAGUACAGAAAAGAUACCAAGAAGUAAAAGAAACUUGGAAAGCAGAUGAGGAUCAUUUAAGGUAAGUUACACGCUAUCAGAGGCAGCAGCUGAACUCAACCCAACAUCUGAACUUCAAAUUUCAUAUUUUCUACUGUAUUUUCUACUGUAUCAAAUUAUGAUCACAGAAAAUUGCACAAAGAACUUAAAACUCUCUAGCCUUCACUAACAAAACAGUCAUUUACAAAAACUGGUACUUUUUUCAACUGUUUUGGAACUAUUAAUUUUAUAUUCAUGAGCAAUUUUCAUUUUAUCCUAUUUCUUUUUAGCAUAAUAUUCAGAAGCAAUAAGGUUCUUGAAUAAGCAAGCAGAAAACCACUAUCAGGUCAGUUGGUCUUUUACUCAUCUGCACAUCUUUUCACCUUCUUGCAGUUGCUCAGAGAUACAGUUUGGUCUUAAGAACUCCAUUUCUUCAAAGAACGUAUUUACUAUAUACAUAAAUGAAUCCUUUGUUUUCAGUUUAUAUGUAUUAAUGACCCAAAUUAAAAUAUUUCUGGGGGGGUACAUAACAACAUGAACCAACACAUUUAAAAUUAAAUAUGUCUGGAAUGUCUUAGGUCCUCCUUUUCAAAGCUCAUAUCCUACCUGUAAAAAUGUUAUGCUAACCAGAGGUGACUUCAUGGUUUAACUUUUUAAAACGUUUCAUAAUGUCCAGAAAAAUUCUUAAAGAACAAAUCCCCAAUUUAUCAGAUUUGUGGAAGGCUCAACCAUAAAAGGAAAAACACAUCAAGUAAGUAUUUGAUGUUCUUUGUUCUGAUGUUAAGAGCUCAUGUUGACUUGUAUCAUCACCAAUUCUUAUUACUUAUUUUUCUUCUAACACAACCCAUUAAUAUUUCCUAGUGAUUUCACCCAAGAAAAUUCAUUUUUGGAAAAUAUUUGACAUGAAAAGGUUUUCCUAUAUUCAUAUGCAAAACAUGAUUAGAGGUACUGCAUGGAUAUUACAAAUAUAAGGAAGUCAGUAAUAUAAAUUAACAGCUAAGGAUUUUUCUUAAAGCUAAGGGCUACCUGUAAUUUAACUAUGUACUACAUAUGAAAUACUUCUUAUAAAAUAAAGACCUAUAUAGAAGGGUGUAUGACUCUAAGAGAAUAAUUCUACCUUACGCAUAAGGAUAUAAGAGAAUAAUUCUACCUCACGCAUAAGGAUUACUAGUCUCCCUUUUUCUACCUUCAGAACCCCUUAUUAUUCCACCAUUCUUCGUUAUCUUGCUGAGUCAUCUCAUAAUACUCCCCCAGCAAAAUUAAAUUUUUUCUUCCACAUAGAUUCUUAUGUAUGCCUUCUUAAAACGAAAGCAAAGCUAAAUUCAUUCUGUAAUUGUUAAGACUAUUUACAGAUCCCAUGAAAGAUCUUAACUGUCAACGUAGUAAAUUAUCCACACUAAUUAGACUAUGUCUGGGGCCUAUAAAAAAUAAUCUAAGCAGUCACAAUUAAACACUAAAACUCUAGGGGUCUUCACUUGUCACUUUUUUGAUAAUUCUGAUCAACUGCUGGGACUUUAAAUAAAUGGGAACCCAAAUAUUUCAGGCCAAAAUUUACAUUCCUUUGGCCUACCUUAUGUGUUUCCUAAAACUGUCAGGUAGGAUUACUGAUGCAAUUUGAAAGCCCAGCAAAUAUACCUCAAGUACUGUUCAUUAACCUUGUCCAAAUUACUUUGGGUAGCAGUCUGUAAAUCUGAGGAUGUUUAGGUAUAAAUAACAGGUUUUUAUUCUGAAAAAGUCUAAGUUUAGAGGUGAUAAUGUGGAAAAUCGAUCUACUGACUACUUCAAGCCCUGAUCCCCAAUUUCCAGCUAUAAAUUUAGCCAUGAAAAUGUAAAGAUGGCUCUAAAAGCUCCCAACUUCUCUAGGAUAAAAUUCUUCCCAAUUAGAAAACAAAUGAAUACACACCUAUGAUCUGAAGACCUAUCUUCAUAUAUUUUUUAAGUCUUUAAGCAGAUAAUCUAAAUGCCUCAUCAUUUAUCCCCAGGAUGAAACUUCAUUCAAAUCUCAGUAACAUUUUGUCACAUUCACUUCUCACUCUAGAAGAAAUUUUAAUAUAGCAACCUUGAUGUUUAAAAUAAAUUUACUUCAGAUAAAAUGAUAACCAGUUUUUUUCCUGACUACAACUUAAUUCACUCAACAGGCUUACCAAGAGAGUAAUCUUACUAUUCAUUUUAUAUUCAUAUUUUUAAAUGUGAAGAACAUACUCAAAAUAAAAUGAACCAGGAUUAUCUGAACCUCUUAAGGAUCCUCAAAUGUUUGAAUCAAAAAAGCAUGUUUCCAGGUUUUCAAGGUAAUUCAAGAUAUGUAAUAAUGUAUAAUCCCCAAAGCACUAAUAUUCAAGGACUAGACCAAAUGUCACAUAUCAGUAUUGAAACUCUCAUUAAAUAUCACAGCUACCCUUUAGAACACUGGUCAGUAGUAUUUUCUACAGUGACAGCUAAUGAGCACUUAAAAUGUGGCUAGUGCAAUUAAGGAAAUGAUUUUUCAGUGGCUAGUGACUACUCUACUGGACUAUAUGGUAUAUGUGUGUGUACAUAAACACUAUACAGUGGAUCAUACUAUGUAGUGGAGCUUCAGAGCCUUAACCAUCUUUCAGUGUUGCUCAGAAAGAGGAAUAGGUUUAAGGUACCGAAAUGAUGUUAAAAAGCCCUUCUAAAAAGUAGGAAAAAAUCUUAAAUUUGAUAGAACGCUAUUAUUAAGUGGUCAUCAACAAGCCUCAUUUGUUUCCACUGUUAUACUACAAACUUUUAAUCUAAUGUAUGAAGUCUAAUUAUGAUACUAUAACAAUAUUCUAAGUAUUAUAAUUGGGGAAAAUGUUUAGUUUCCUUUUCCCUAGGACUUGUUUUAAAAAGUGAAAUCUACCUCGAGUAUCCAAUUCCAGUUCUCCUAUAGUUAAAAACCUGUCCACGUUAUUUCAUUUCUCUACUACAGCAGAUCACUUCUCCUAUAAUCCAAAAGUGUCAGAAAUGAAAUCAUAAUGUAACAUGCAUUUCACAGCCUAAGUUAUAAUCAUGUCCUUUCUGUAUCUUCCUCAUUUAAAAACCCUUCUAAGUCAACUUCCUUACCCCUUUCGUUAACCCAGCUGUUUACAUAAAUACAAGUAUCUCAGGGGCAUUUCUUAGAAAGUCAAUUAAAGGGCUAAAGAGAAUUAUUAGGAGGGAGUCAGGGAAAAUAAGCCCUAUAAUAUGAAUUGUAUUACUCUCUACCUAGACAAUUACAGGUAUCUUAAAACAGAGAGUAUAAAAGGAAAUGUUUAAUUCAAAGAAACAGAAUUUAAAAAAAAAAGCAUCUGAUCUGUAUGUAAAAUAGGACUUUAAGAUACUUAUUAGCAAAAAUUAAUAAAUUACAAAGAGGUUCAUCUAGAAAAGAAAAUGACAACUAUAAAAACAAAAGCCACACAAAAUACAGAAUACCUCAGUUGUCAUGGGUUUGGUUUUAAAAUGUGAAUUACGAAUCUUUUAUUACACCAUAUGGAAUUCUCUAACAUAACUCCUAUACAUUUAAUCUGAAUAAACUAGAAUAAGAAAAACAGGUAACCUAUUAAGUUGUUCAAAGAAAUUCAAUGUUAAUCACCCAGGAGAAUCUAAGGAAAAAAGAAUGAAUAGCAAGGCUGUAUUUAACCAUUCUAGCACUGCCAGGACCCAUGUAUUUAAUUUUCAAUUAAAAUUUACAUCUUACCCCAAGAACUUAACUUUCCUAAAGUAUAAAGUUGGAACUUCUAUACUUGAAGAACUUCUAUACUUCCACUGGGAAGUGGAAAUAUUUUUUAAUAAAACAAAUCAAGCACACUGAGACAAGAAUCAUCUUAACAUGUAAGCAAUUACUAGACCUUAAUGGAGAGCUACCUCUGGACCUCUGAUAAUUUAUGAUUAAUAGUAAACCCAAGGAAAUGUUAUAUCAAAGAUUACAUUUAAAUCUUCUACCCAAUAAGCCUCUAACUUUAUUAGCAAGAAUUAAUGCCCCCAAGGACACUUUUUUUAAAUAUUAGUUUUCCACCAUUUUUGAUUUCACUGUUUAAGAAUAAAUCAAAUUCACACAAAUAUGGUCAAAGUUCUGUAGACACUCCUUACUGAGGAUGAUGCUGGCUGGCUUCUGGGUAGGAAGACGAUGCUAUGGCAGUAAGGCACAGUCUGAUGAGCUGAUAUUCCAUAAGAUACGGAUUUAUGUUGAUCCAUCCACAUCUAUCCACUCACGUUUAUGUCAAAGAGCACUCAUGUGCAAGACAAUUGGUGGGGUUAAGGAUUACAGCAAAGCUGAGACCAAAUCUGUGAUCUUUGCCUAAAUGUUUUAUGCUCAAAACUAAAAAACCACAAACUCCAUUUAUAUUUAUUAAAAUGAAAAACACGGAUAGGUUAAAAAAUAAAUAAAUACUAAUCAGUUAAAACAGUGACCAUUUGAAAGAACUUUCCUUUUACUCUAUAAAAGCCUUUAUUUCAACCCCAGACAGGGAAUCAAAAGGGUCAAUGCUCCCAUGUCACCAUUCCACAAACAUUGGUAUGUAGAACAUAAUCUUACAAAUACAUGUAUUUGCAAGAUACAGCUAAAUAACUAGGACUAAACGUUUUAUAUUGUGACCACUUCCUCUAGGUGUUUACUACUAUUGUUAGGUAAAAGCACAGAGACCUGAAAGCAAAACGAAACCAUGCUCUUUCUCUUCUAAAAUUUUGGGAUUGUUUUUGCUUAAAAUUAACCUAUGUAUUUUUUGAGUCUGACUUAAAGAAUUCUGGUAUCAUAUAGUUGUAUAUAUCCUCCCACAGAAGAAAUCCGCUUCAUUUAUUUAGUUUUCCGACCUUUUUCUUCUGCUUUAAUGAAAGACUGCUUAAUAUAAAAUUUGAAUACCCAACUUCUCCCCCUGGGAUUUCUUUGGAAUUCCCAACUUUUAAUUAAAACUGACAACUACUUUUGAUGACUGAUAAGGCUAAGGCAUCACAGGGUCAGUGUUAAGACUGAAAAUGGCAGAGUACUGAAUUUCAAACAUAUAUACAGACACGUAUAGAUAAAGUUUCAAUAAAAAAUACUCAUCAGGAUUCACUAAGCACUUUCUGCAUGUUCAACUGUGGUUAGAAUACUUAUGAUCACUUCUCAGGAAAAUCCCUUGGAACUUUUCAAUUAUUUACAGGGCUUUACUCAGCUGAAAAAUUUUUCUCACAUAAUCUCCCUAUGUUUUCCAACUCUAUUACAUGCUUAGUCUGCAAAUUACUAAAAGCGUAUGUAUCAGAAUUUCUAAGUCAGUCUGUACUGGCCCUCUUACCAUGAUUUAUAUUCAGCCUACAAGAUUUAAGUCAAUUGCAGAUGUCAGUUAACCUUUCCCUCUUGAGAUGUGCAGGUAGUCUAAUCUGGGGAUUAGCAACUGAGCUACUGAACUGGUUUCACUAAAAUAUUGUCUAAAUCAGCUAUCCCUUUCCCACUGGUGAGAGUAUAACUUGCUUCAACUACUGAAUCCCACAUAAAUACAAAUCAUCACUGGUGACCAUAAAUUGCAUUGGUUAAUUAGCGUGUCCAGCUUCAUUGUAUAGAACUUGCUCUCUCUUAAAAUGCCGAUCAAAAAAGCACAAUAAAAAAUGUCACCUGUGAAUAGCUCAGGGGAAAAAAAUACUAUCAAAAGAAUUCUGAUUUGGGUUCUGUUCACUUUCUGAUUUUAUAAACAACAGGAUUUAUUUAUUUGUAAUAAUGGAGGUGUUUAGUGGAAGACGAUAUGGCCAAUGCAAGGAACCUGAGGUGGAGAGAACAGGUCUCUCUGACCUACAUAUCCCAGAACUGCAAGAAAAGGAAGUGGGGAAGAAGUCCCACGUUGUAAGGGCAUCAGAUUAUCUAGUCCAGUCCUUGGACAAACGUCUGGGCUUUGGAACCAAGGGCAAGAGGUGAUAACUAAUCUAUAGUAUCAUUUAAAACUCCCACCCACCCUAGUAAGUCUCCACCCUCCCAGAUCCCCCAAGCGUGAUUUUGCACAACAAGUUAAAUAAAAGUAAACUGUUUAUUAAAAGAUACAGCAAAGGUACAGAUACAGAGAUACAUACAAAGAUACAGAUAUAUAUAUAUAUAUAUAUUUACAUAUAUAUACAGUCUUGCUGUUUUCAUGUGCACUAUAUUUAGCAGCACAUUAUUUAAUCAGUCAGCAUUUUAAUGGGGUUGUUUUGACACUUGGUGUUAUUACUGCGUCAUUUUGACAAGAUACAACUAUAGCCUCAUGGAAAUUUCAAGGUGUGAAUUCCACUUCUCCAACUUUUAAUAGUAGCAAAGAGGGGAAGGAGAAGGGAAAUGGAGUACCAAGGCUGAGCAUUAGGUUAAACACAAGAAUUCCAAAGGGCCAAGGUAGCACAGGGAAGGGAAAAUGAUUAAAAUUAAAGGCUAUCUGACAACCCAAAGAAAUAGUAAGAAACCAUUAUUUAAGGGCAAUGGGCUAUGUUAUAUAUCCAAGAUGCUCACACAUCAGCCUACAGUGACCUUUUCCAAUCCAGUUCUUGUGUUGAACCUGAGGAUCUGCCUCUCUCUGCUCAAUCCCUCCACCCAGUAAAUUUGCUACCACCAAAAUCUAGAGCUAUAGAGCCUCGAAGCAAAACGGGAAGCUAAAUAGUUGUACCUUGGGCUACCUUCCCAUAAGUGCAAGGAGGGCCCAAUGUUGGGUAGGGAUGUGAUAACACUGUUCUCUGCAAUUCGAUGCUUUUCACUUUGUGGCUUGGUUCCACAAAGUGAAUUGCAUCGAGUUACUGUCAAAUGAGAAGCUGCGGGUUGUUUCAUCUGUCGUCUAACCCGGCCCUGCCGUUUAACCCGGCCCUAAGAAGAGUGAAACAGAAGCCAAAUCAGAUAUAAAGUAACAAUAAAAUGGGAGAUUCAGGUAUUAAAAACAAAAAACAAAAAAACACAAUAUUCCUCUUACUUACCUCAGAGGGCAAAUUGCUGCUGAAAACAUUAUCAUCAUCUUUGUUCUCUUCACCAUUUUUCUCUACAGGAACCCACUCUCCAUAAACACUAUCUGCUUCUUUUUUUCGAUGUUGAGAUCCAGAUGACACAGGAAACUCUUUUGUUAAUGUUACCUGGCUUUUUGGUGGAGUUGGUUUUGCUGCAGCAAUCUAAAACAUAAUGUGUUUCCUUAAUUAACACUUAAGAGGUUUU